GGGCGGGUAGCUCAACGGCUAGAGCAUUCGCUUUACACGCGAAGGGUUCGGGGUUCGAAUCCCCGCCUGCCCA
rnacentral:tRNA from 1 species